rnacentral:rRNA from 1 species
GACGAACGCUGGCGGCGUGCUUAACACAUGCAAGUCGAACGAUGAAGCCUAGCUUGCUAGGUGGAUUAGUGGCGAACGGGUGAGUAAUACGCGAGUGACCUACCUUUGACUCUGGGAUAAGCCUGGGAAACAGGGUCUAAUACCGGAUACGACCAAUCUCCGCAUGGGGUGUUGGUGGGAAGGGUUCUGGAGUGGUUUUAGAUGGGCUCACGGCCUAUCAGCUUGUUGGUGAGGUAGUGGCUUACCAAGGCGACGACGGGUAGCCGGCCUGAGAGGGUGACCGGCCACACUGGGACUGAGACACGGCCCAGACUCCUACGGGAGGCAGCAGUGGGGAAUAUUGCACAAUGGGCGGAAGCCUGAUGCAGCGACGCCGCGUGAGGGAUGACGGCCUUCGGGUUGUAAACCUCUGUUAGCAUCGAAGAAGCGAAAGUGACGGUAGGUGCAGAGAAAGCGCCGGCUAACUACGUG